AGCGAACGCUGGCGGAAUGCUUAACACAUGCAAGUCGCACGCCCUGCAAGGGGAGUGGCGGACGGGUGAGUAACGCGUAGGAAUAUGUCCAGAGGUGGGGGACAACCCCGGGAAACUGGG
rnacentral:rRNA from 1 species